GGCCAUGUGGCCUAAUGGAUAAGGUGUCUGACUCCAGGUCAGAUGAUUGAAGGUUUUAGUCCCUCAUGGGCUU
rnacentral:tRNA from 1 species